UACGUAGGUGGCGAGCGUUGUCCGGAUUCAUUGGGCGUAAAGCGCGUGCAGGUGGUGCGGUAAGUCUGUCGUGAAAUCUCCCGGCUCAACUGGGAGGGUGCGGUGGAGACUGCCGGACUGGAGGCACUCAGAGGCCGGUGGAAUUCCCGGUGUAGUGGUGAAAUGCGUAGAGAUCGGCAGGAACACCCAGGGGGAAACCAGCCGGACUGGGGAUGUGCUGACGCUGAGGUGCGAGAGCGUGGGGAGCGAACCGGG
rnacentral:rRNA from 1 species